rnacentral:lncRNA from 1 species
AAAAAUAUGAAUAGGCUCGAAAUUCGAGGGCGGUCAGACUGUCCUGAAGGAAGUUUUUUGAAAUUCUGGCCGGAAAAGUCAUUGUAGUCGCCGGAAAAAAUCAAAGUUGUCGGAAUCGAACAAAAAUAGGAUGGGUAGGGUCGGAAUUAGAUUCCGACCAAACUGUCCUGAAGGAGUCACCGGAAAUUCUGGACGGAAAGGGUGCCACGCGCCGGCGCGUGGGCUCACGCGCCG